rnacentral:rRNA from 1 species
UACGUAGGGUGCGAGCGUUGUCCGGAAUUAUUGGGCGUAAAGAGCUUGUAGGCGGUUUGUCGCGUCUGCUGUGAAAUCCGGGGCUCAACCCCGGACUUGCAGUGGGUACGGGCAGACUGGAGUGUGGUAGGGGAGACUGGAAUUCCUGGUGUAGCGGUGGAAUGCGCAGAUAUCAGGAGGAACACCGAUGGCGAAGGCAGGUCUCUGGGCCACUACUGACGCUGAGAAGCGAAAGCAUGGGGAGCGAACAGG